AGCAUGCAAGGCCUGAGCCACAGCUUGAACAUGGAUCAUAGAAGAAAAAUUUGGAGAUCUCUGCUCCAUGACCAGAGCUUUGAUGCAAACAGCAGACAGAGCUGUUCAACAGUGGAAGAGACUCCCUCCGAAGGUGACCAUGUGUCAUGGAUGCUUCAGAAAUAAAUGACGCUCCCAAUUCAUCGGAUGAUGACC